GGUUGGGGGUGGAAAGAGGUGACCAGAUCAUCCAGGCACCAGCUCCGGGGAGAGUUCAUCUCUGACAAAGUGAACAUAAAUUCAGGGCUCAACUGGUGUGCAGUAGCAGGUGAAUCCGCCCACCAGCCUUGUGCGGUUGUUGGUUAUUCUCCCGUUGUGAUGGAAGAGAGAACUGGAGCUCGGAGAGAUGGUGGAAUCUUUCCAAAGUUGCUGGGAUUCAUUGCUGGGGCUUCUGCUGACAGCAGCAGCAUGUACUGUGUGCCAGAUGUGGGGCUGGGAGAUUAGCGUGGGAGAUCUCCUGGGUCUGCAAAACCACUCUCGGGAUAACUGAUGACCCUCAAAGUAGCUGAUGACAGUUACACAUUACAGGCUGGGACCCCGCCAAGUUACUUGCUUAGGGCCACACAGAAAGAAGGUGGCAAAGCCAGGGUCCUUUGUUGUAGUUGUUUUUUAAAUCAAACCGUUAUUUUGUGUAAAUAACAUUCACGUGGACCAAAAUUCAGAAGGUAAAAGAAUACAAGACGAAAAUAUCUUCCAUGCUUGACACUCUGCCUCCACCCGCAGCCACUCUGUUAAUUUCUGUGGAGACGACCGAUGCUGUCCAUUUCUUGUGUCUUCUUUCCAAGACUGAGCUCCAGCCCCCUCCCUCUCUUCUUCGUAUCCCCUCUCCUGAGCCCCUCUAUUUUUCCCUUCUUUCUAUACCUAUUUUCAAAUUCUCAUCCAUCUCAACUAUGUUCAAUAUCUUGUAAUAACCUUUAAUGAAAAAGAAUAUAAAAACAAAUAUAUGUAUGUAUAUGCGUGACUGGGACAUCGUGCUCUGAGUGCAUUAUGCUCUGAGUGAUCCUCAAGAUAUAUUGAGUUCGAAAAAAGCAAAAUAUGACACAACAUGUGCAGUGUACUACGAUUCAUGUAAAAAGGUGAGAUAGAUGAGAAUUUUUUAAAUUUUCUGUUUUUAAUUGAAGUAUAGUCAGUUACAGUGUGUCAAUUUCUGGUGUACAGAAUAAUGUUUCAGUCCUACACAUACAUACAUAUAUUCAUUUUCAUAUUCUUUUUUGUUAUAGGUUACUAUAAGGUAUUGAAUAUAGUUCCCUGUGCUAGACAAUAGAUAUUUGUUGUUUAUCUAUUUUAUAUAUAGUAAGUAGCAUCUACAAAUCUUGAGCUCCCAAUUUAUCCCUCCCCCUCUUCCCCUUUGGUAACCUUAAGUUUGUUUUAAGUCUGUGAUUCUGUUUCUGUUUUGUAAAUAAGUUCAUCUGUGUCUUUUUUUUAAGAUUCCACAUAUAAGUGAUCUCAUAUGGUAUUUUUUUUCUCUUUCUGGCUUACUUCACUUAGAAUGACAAUCUCCAGUUUUUUAUGGCUGAGUAGUAUUUACAGGCCUAGAUUUGAACCUGAGUCAUCCAUCAACACCAGUGUCCCAGGCUGGUUCUACUGCAGUGAUUUCUCACUUUAAUCCCUGGGGGGUGGACCUAGCCUCUGGGGUGAGGAGGAGGUAGAGUAAGGAAGUCCUGGCAGUGACUCUGGCCCCCCAGGACAUGGUUUAUGCCCUUCCCUGUUCCUCCGCCCACCGUGGAAUGUGAAAGAUUAGGGUAGCUUGAGUGGGGUUGUCUGGAGGGAGAAAGCUUGGUGGCCUGGAGUUUGGCCAGCUUUAUCUUUCUCAUCCUCUGCAGGUUCCCUGCCCUAGACCUUGAGCCAGGCAAGAACCAAGGGCUUCUCCAUCCAUCCCCCUGGGGAUACAGCCAGCUGGAUUUUCAGAGAGACAUAUCUGGCCUUGAAAUGUUGGUUUGCUGCCUCCCUGCCUCUACUUUUGUGAUAAUGAUGCUGCUAAAGCUGUUCCAUGCCUAUUGGCCGAAUACCCCAAGCUUGUAAUUAACCCUAUAAAACCUCAUGCACACAUCUUGGAGGAGCUCAGAGUUUCAGAGCAGAAGUUCCUCUGAGCCCACCAGCAUAAUAAAUCUGAGUAUUCCAACCCUC